GCCAGAGUGGCUUAGUGGCUUGAGUGUUGGACGACUCUGGAGACCACGGUUCAAUUCCCCGCUUGGCCA